rnacentral:rRNA from 1 species
AGAGGUCCCAAGCGUUGUUCGGAUUCACUGGGCGUAAAGGGUGCGUAGGUGGCGGUGUAAGUCUGAUGUGAAAGCUUCGAGCUUAACUCGAAAAUGGCAUUGGAUACUAUAUUGCUGGAGGUUUGGAGGGGGGACUGGAAUUCUCGGUGUAGCAGUGAAAUGCGUAGAUAUCGAGAGGAACACCGGUGGCGAAGGCGAGUCCCUGGACAACACCUGACACUGAGGCACGAAAGCUAGGGGAGCAAACAGGAUUAGAUACCCUGGUAGUCCUAGCCGUAAACGGUGCACAUUUGCUGUAAGAGGAAUCGACCCCUUUUGUGGCGUAGCCAACGCGUUAAAUGUGCCGCCUGGGAAGUACGGUCGCAAGAUUA